rnacentral:rRNA from 1 species
UACGUAGGGUGCGAGCGUUGUCCGGAAUUAUUGGGCGUAAAGAGCUCGUAGGCGGUUUGUCACGUCGGCCGUGAAAACUCGGGGCUCAACCCCGAGCCUGCGGUCGAUACGGGCAGACUAGAGUGCUGGAGGGGAGACUGGAAUUCCUGGUGUAGUGGUGAAAUGCGUAGAGAUCGGGAGGAACACCUGUGGCGAAGGCGGCCAGCUGGGCCGGACCUGACGCUGAGACGCGAAGGCGUGGGGAGCGAACGGG